rnacentral:lncRNA from 1 species
CAAUGUACCAUAUAACAAAGGAGAGGCUGGGAUUAAGUUUUGGGUUAAUUGCCCAAAAUAUGUAGGAAUUAAGGGCCAAAAAAGGGCCAAAAAGAAGCAUGUUUCUUGUUUCCAAACAAUCAUGACAAUAACUUGUGUUUAAGUGUAUGGAUCUCUCUGAAAUCGUACUACAAGGUUCAAUAUUACAAAGGAAAGCAUGAGAUUGAGUU